GUAGGUGGCAAGCGUUGUCCGGAAUUAUUGGGCGUAAAGCGCGCGCAGGCGGUCCUUUAUGUCUGAUGUGAAAGCCCACGGCUCAACCGUGGAGGGUCAUUGGAAACUGGGGGACUUGAGUACAGAAGAGGAAAGCGGAAUUCCAAGUGUAGCGGUGAAAUACGUAGAGAUUUGGUGGAACACCAGUGGCGAAGGCGGCUUUCUGGUCUGUAACUGACGCUGAGGCGCGAAAGCGUGGGGAGCAAACAGGAUUAGAUACCCUGGUAGUCCACGCCGUAAACGAUGAGUGCUAAGUGUUAGGGGGUUUCCCGCCCCCUUAGUGCUGCAGCUAACGCAUUAAGCACUCCGCCUGGGGAGUACGGCCGCAAGGCUG
rnacentral:rRNA from 1 species